CUGUGUCGAGAGCGCCGCCACAUUGACCCAAACCAGCGGCGGCGCAGCUCGUCCAUCGUCCUGCUGUCGGUGCCCUGCUCAAGCCAUCGCCACUGCAGUAGGGCGCCGCUGCCGCCGUUGCAGACUUGACCUCCCGCGGCUACCGCCGCCGCGGCCGCCGGCGGGGGCGGGGGCUUUGACGGACCUGCCUCCCUCGACAGCUUCGGGCGGAGGAGGCGGAGGGCUCCGUCGCCGCGACCCUCGCCCGACCUUGCCACCCUGGACGGAUUCUACCCUGCCUCCUCGACCAAGACCAACCCGCCUCAGCUGUAGACGCGUGCUUCAAGUUCAGAAAUCAGAACCAAGGUUCAGUGAGGCUUUUGGUCCUUUGACGCCUGCACCGUGCUGCCAGCUUUUCCAGUUAUUCAACCAUGUCUCUAGAAGAACAACGUAGUUGGAUGUACAGUGGGUGGAAUGAACAGGGGCACCAUUCUGAAGAGUGGGUGCGCAACACAACAGCUUUUCUUGACCAUGCUUUUCAGAUUAUGCCUAAUGCUGACCGGUUUGGUGUGAAGUGCCCAUGCACAAAGUGUCGUAAUGGAGUCAGGCGGAAGAAACAACUAGUCAGAGUGCACCUUUGUCAGUAUGGUUUCAUGCCAAAUUACACCAGAUGGACAUCGCACGGCGAGCGUCCAAUAGUUGGUACAACCAGAAUGGAAGAGGAUAUUCACACUAGUAAUGAACCGCUAGUUGAUAUUCACACUAAUAAUGAACCGCUAGUUGAUAUCCAGAAGGAAGAGAGGUAUCUAAGAUUGAGGCAUGGAUAUACACACAUAGAGGAAAAGAUCCAAAGAAUCCUGAUGUGUUAAAUAGCGUUGAAGCCACGGAAUGCUUGGAUUCAUACAAAGAGAAGGUUGUAAGCAUGCGUAGUGAGGACUAUGAUUGGAAGCAUUCUCCUGUUGAACCACAAGCCCUUUAUGAAGCUGGUGGUGGGAAGCCGCACGGAAAGUGGCCACUAUUGAAUGGUGUUGUGGAGGGUAAAGAGGCUCUUAAGGAGGUGCAGAUCAAACGCUCUUCAUCUUCGUCAAAGCGCCAACGACUAGAACAUGAUAAAAGGAUUGUAACGAGUUAAUGAAAAGACAUGCACAAAGUAUGGUUGAUUGGGGGAAAUCUGUGCAGACUACAGUGGAGAGUAGCCUUGGUGGUGUGCACAAGUUUCUAAUGACCAUCGCAUCCCUUCAAGGAAUUCCAGGGCCUGAGAUUCCAUGCAUUGUUAUACCCCCACCUCCAGCUUUUCCAACUUUAACCACUUCGUCUCCGAUCUUUUCUCCAGAAAUGCCCUCCACCGGCGAAUCAACAAAUGAUGCUGAAAAUAUAGAUAAUACAUUGCAUGGAGCGGAAGAUGGAAUGUUUGGCGGCUUUUUUGAUGCAAAUGGUCAUGAUGCGAAUGGUGUUGUUGGUGGAACUUUCCCCCCACCUGGUGAUGAUUUACCUACAUUUUGAGAUAUCUCUUAUCAUGGGAAGGAAGUGGUCUGAACUUUUUUUGUUGAUUAAUUGGAAGCAAAUGGACAAUUAUCCUUUUGGCCAUGCACUUGGUUAUGGUUGUGAUGUCUUGGAUCAGCGACUUAUAUGAUGCAUGUUGUAUCAUUCCAGGCUACUAAUUGGCAAUCCUAGGUAGAUGACAUUUUGUGAGUUCUAGGUACUGAGCUAGAUGCCAUCUUUUAUAAAGA